rnacentral:rRNA from 1 species
CUCAGAUUGAACGCUAGCGGCAUGCUUAACACAUGCAAGUCGAACGGCAGCGCAAAGGAGCUUGCUCCUUGGCGGCGAGUGGCGAACGGGUGAGUAACGCGUAGGAAUCUGCCUUGUAGUGGGGGACAACUCUGGGAAACUCGAGCUAAUACCGCAUAAUCUCUACGGAGCAAAGUGGGGGAUCGUAAGACCUCACGCUAUAAGAUGAGCCUGCGUCGGAUUAGCUUGUUGGUGGGGUAAUGGCCUACCAAGGCGACGAUCCGUAGCUGGUCUGAGAGGACGACCAGCCACACUGGGACUGAGACACGGCCCAGACUCCUACGGGAGGCAGCAGU